AUGAACGCUGGCGGCGUGCCUAAUCCAUGCAAGUCGAGCGAACAGACGAGGAGCUUGCUCCUCUGACGUUAGCGGCGGACGGGUGAGUAACACGUGGAUAACCUACCUAUAAGACUGGGAUAACUUCGGGAAACCGGAGCUAAUACCGGAUAAUAUAUUGAACCGCAUGGUUCAAUAGUGAAAGACGGUUUUGCUGUCACUUAUAGAUGGAUCCGCGCCGCAUUAGCUAGUUGGUAAGGUAACGGCUUACCAAGGCGACGAUGCGUAGCCGACCUGAGAGGGUGAUCGGCCACACUGGAACUGAGACACGGUCCAGACUCCUACGGGAGGCAGCAGUAGGGAAUCUUCCGCAAUGGGCGAAAGCCUGACGGGGCAACGCCGCGUGAGUGAUGAAGGUCUUCGGAUCGUAAAACUCUGUUAUUAGGGAAGAACAAAUGUGUAAGUAACUAUGCACGUCUUGACGGUACCUAAUCAGAAAGCCACGGCUAACUACGUG
rnacentral:rRNA from 1 species